AACUGCCAUGCCAGGGAACUCCUUGGGCUGGCUUUGGUGUGCUCAGUCACUGGGUGCGGUGGGCAGUAGCAGGCAUACUGUCUAGGGGACUGCUGCACCGCUUUUGCACCCUGCUCUAGGAGGAGGAGAAUGUGGAGUAGGAGGUUGAAGAGGCGGUGACCGUGGCGGCGAUGACGGAUUUGGAUGUCUGCCCUAUCAACUUUCGAUGUUGCUUUCUGCGCCUACCGUGGUGACCAUGGGUAAUGGGGAAUCAGGGUUCGAUUCUGGAGAGGGAGCCUGAGAAACGGCUACCACAUCCAAGGAAGGCAGCAGGCAUGCAAAUUACCCACUCCUUGGAAUAAGUA